rnacentral:other from 1 species
CAAGUCCUGAUGUGUUCGUCGUAUAACCUAUUGUUUUGACCGAACAAUAGAUUAUACGGGAGCUCAGAGUUUUCGUUGCUGCGUACAUGCCUCCUAACGCAAGAGGACGUAUAAAAAGCAUGAAACAGAGCACCCACCUGCUGUGAGCGGGUUCAAAACGAAGGCAUCAAACGACGGCACGAUUGGGACUUGC